AAUCAACGCUGGCGGCGUGCCUCAGACAUGCAAGUCGAACGCGAAAGUCCCCUUCGGGGGAUGAUUAGAGUGGCGCACGGGUGAGUAACACGUAGGUAAUCUACCUUCGAGUGGGGAAUAACUCAGGGAAACUUGAGCUAAUACCGCAUAAUGCAGCGGCACCACAUGGUGACAGUUGUUAAAGCAUUUAUGCGCUUGAAGAGGAGCCUGCGGCAGAUAGCUAGUUGGUAAGGUAAUGGCUUACCAAGGCUACGAUCUGUAACCGGCCUGAGAGGGCGGACGGUCACACUGACACUGAAUAAC
rnacentral:rRNA from 1 species